rnacentral:rRNA from 1 species
GAUGAACGCUAGCUACAGGCUUAACACAUGCAAGUCGAGGGGCAGCAUGGUCUUAGCUUGCUAAGGCCGAUGGCGACCGGCGCACGGGUGAGUAACACGUAUCCAACCUGCCGUCUACUCUUGGACAGCCUUCUGAAAGGAAGAUUAAUACAAGAUGGCAUCAUGAGUCCACAUGUUCACAUGAUUAAAGGUAUUCCGGUAGACGAUGGGGAUGCGUUCCAUUAGAUAGUAGGCGGGGUAACGGCCCACCUAGUCUUCGAUGGAUAGGGGUUCUGAGAGGAAGGUCCCCCACAUUGGAACUGAGACACGGUCCAAACUCCUACGGGAGGCAGCAGUGAGGAAUAUUGGUCAAUGGGCGAGAGCCUGAACCAGCCAAGUAGCGUGAAGGAUGACUGCCCUAUGGGUUGUAAACUUCUUUUAUAAAGGAAUAAAGUCGGGUAUGGAUACCCGUUUGCAUGUACUUUAUGAAUAAGGAUCGGCUAACUCCGUGCCAGCAGCCGCGGUAAUACGGAGGAUCCGAGCGUUAUCCGGAUUUAUUGGGUUUAAAGGGAGCGUAGAUGGAUGUUUAAGUCAGUUGUGAAAGUUUGCGGCUCAACCGUAAAAUUGCAGUUGAUACUGGAUAUCUUGAGUGCAGUUGAGGCAGGCGGAAUUCGUGGUGUAGCGGUGAAAUGCUUAGAUAUCACGAAGAACUCCGAUUGCGAAGGCAGCCUGCUAAGCUGCAACUGACAUUGAGGCUCGAAGGUGUGGGUAUCAAACAGGAUUAGAUACCCUGGUAGUCCACACGGUAAACGAUGAAUACUCGCUGUUUGCGAUAUACAGCAAGCGGCCAAGCGAAAGCGUUAAGUAUUCCACCUGGGGAGUACGCCGGCAACGGUGAAACUCAAAGGAAUUGACGGGGGCCCGCACAAGCGGAGGAACAUGUGGUUUAAUUCGAUGAUACGCGAGGAACCUUACCCGGGCUUAAAUUGCAGAUGAAUUACGGUGAAAGCCGUAAGCCGCAAGGCAUCUGUGAAGGUGCUGCAUGGUUGUCGUCAGCUCGUGCCGUGAGGUGUCGGCUUAAGUGCCAUAACGAGCGCAACCCUUGUUGUCAGUUACUAACAGGUUCCGCUGAGGACUCUGACAAGACUGCCAUCGUAAGAUGUGAGGAAGGUGGGGAUGGCGUCAAAUCAGCACGGCCCUUACGUCCGGGGCUACACACGUGUUACAAUGGGGGGUACAGAGGGCCGCUACCACGCGAGUGGAUGCCAAUCCCAAAAACCUCUCUCAGUUCGGACUGGAGUCUGCAACCCGACUCCACGAAGCUGGAUUCGCUAGUAAUCGCGCAUCAGCCACGGCGCGGUGAAUACGUUCCCGGGCCU